rnacentral:sRNA from 1 species
CCCUAGCCCUGAUAGCAGCGGCAUCCUUUAAUUAAAGCUUCUAGCCUUUUGAAGGCUGGAAGCUUUAAUUAAAGAUAGAGCGAAUAGCAGGAAUUAGC